GUAGGUGGCAAGCGUUGUCCGGAAUUAUUGGGCGUAAAGCGCGCGCAGGCGGAUCAGUCAGUCUGUCUUAAAAGUUCGGGGCUUAACCCCGUGAUGGGAUGGAAACUGCUGAUCUAGAGUAUCGGAGAGGAAAGUGGAAUUCCUAGUGUAGCGGUGAAAUGCGUAGAUAUUAGGAAGAACACCAGUGGCGAAGGCGACUUUCUGGACGAAAACUGACGCUGAGGCGCGAAAGCCAGGGGAGCGAACGGGAUUAGAUACCCCGGUAGUCCUGGCCGUAAACGAUGGGUACUAGGUGUAGGAGGUAUCGACCCCUUCUGUGCCGGAGUUAACGCAAUAAGUACCCCGCCUGGGGAGUACGACCGCAAGGUUG
rnacentral:rRNA from 2 species